UUUCUGUGUUUUGAUCACUGCAGACAGUGAUCAAAGGGCAGGGAAGUGGUUAAAUUUUAUUUGAAAGAGGUGAGGGGGGUGGGAUUUUAUUACUAACACUUUUUUUUUUUGAGAGAUCUGUCUCUCUGCACUUCACAGUUCACAGGGAGCGGCAGGGAGACAGAUCAGGAGACAAACUACACAAUUGCAGCAAUCUGGGGUUAAUUUUAGUCUUGGACAGAAAUUUUCCAUCCUGGUCCUUAAGGGGAGUGCUGCAAUGAAGGAAAAUUUCUGUCCAGCGUCCUUAAGGCGUUAAAGAUAGUUAGAAAAACAGACCUACACCUCCCAACAUUUCAAAUGGGAAAAGAGGGACAGCUUGAUUUUAGAGCUCUGAGUGGGUAUUUGGCCAGGGUUUGGGCUCCUCCUGAGAAAUUUUAGUGGACUUAAUAAUAACAAGUUAUGCACCUAAAAUGUAAUUUCGAACAAAAACAAUGUAUUUUUAUUUAGAGAGAAUCAUUUCUAAACACAUCUAGUGAAGUUAUACACAUUAGUGUGAGUAUUAUUGCUGUGGAACUCUGUUAUACACUCCAACACAAAAACAAAAUGGAGCUCCUAGAAAAGAGGAACAAAUGGAUUUGGGCCCAAAAUAGGGACUGUUCUUCCUAAAUAGGGACAUUUGUUCACCCUCCAUCCCCUUUCUUCCAUUGCAUCCUGCAUCCUGGUCAAUUUAUCAGUAUUCACGUUUUGAGAAAUAGCUCCUCUGUGGUUUGUAAUGGCUUACAUAAAAUGUUACCAGGAAUCAAUGCAACCUGUACACAAGGACUAAUUGUAGAUCACUGAUUGGAAUUAUUACUGCUCUAGGUCAGAAACUUUAUUGGAGGGCCAUAACGAAGGGAAACACAUAUGGAAACCAAGACGUACAUGUCUGGUAUGCCUGUUCACAGCCCUAAAUUACCCAAAGACGACACAAAAAAAGAGACUCCUUGUCUAGACAGAAAAUGGAAUAAUGCACCUUAGGCCCUCACCACAGGAAAGCAUUGAAGCAAUUUUACAGAUGUUGCAUGUCCUCAUGCAGAACGUGAGAAUGUCCAGCAUCAGUUUGGUGACCUAAAGUCGCCUAGGAAGCACCUCUAGUGUUUAUCUGGUAGACAGCCACUAUAGACUAUCUUAGUGCUGCAAAGUAAACAUUGCAGUUUCUCUCAAAGUGUGACAGGGAAAAUGCAAACCGACCACUCUAAUGAGCUCAAGUGGUCUGGGUGUCUAUAGUGUCCCUUUAAAUCUAAAAAUAAUAUGAUACAAAAUGGCAAGAGGCAAACACUGCCAGAGAAAAAAGUCACAUUGGAGUGUUACUUGGUCAGUGGGUGUGAAAGGGAUAUACAGUCGUUAUAAUAUUGGGGUUUUGGUAAAACAUACAUACAAAUAAAUAUAUAAUCAUGGUGAGUAUACUUUUCUAUUACAUUACCCCAAUAUAUUAUUUAAAUCUGAAGCAGACACACUAAUUUAAAUAAUUUUAGAGGCGUUCACAAGAUAGAGAAAACUUCCUCCGAGAAAAAUUAUACACACUCAUGGAUCAAUAAAGAUUCCAUAGUAGAAUUAAUUAUCCUCAAA
rnacentral:lncRNA from 1 species